CCUACGGGAGGCAGCAGUGGGGAAUUGUUCGCAAUGGGCGCAAGCCUGACGACGCAACGCCGCGUGGAGGAUGAAGGUCUUCGGAUUGUAAACUCCUGUUGAUCGGGACGAAAGGCCCCGGACCCAAUACGUCCGGGGAGUGACGGUACCGGUUGAGGAAGCUCCGGCUAACUCUGUGCCAGCAGCCGCGGUAAU
rnacentral:rRNA from 1 species